rnacentral:rRNA from 1 species
GAUGAACGCUGGCGGCGUGCCUAAUACAUGCAAGUCGAGCGAACAGACGAGGAGCUUGCUCCUCUGACGUUAGCGGCGGACGGGUGAGUAACACGUGGAUAACCUACCUAUAAGACUGGGAUAACUUCGGGAAACCGGAGCUAAUACCGGAUAAUAUAUUGAACAGCAUGGUUCAAUAGUGAAAGACGGUUUUGCUGUCACUUAUAGAUGGAUCCGCGCCGCAUUAGCUAGUUGGUAAGGUAACGGCUUACCAAGGCAACGAUGCGUAGCCGACCUGAGAGGGUGAUCGGCCGCACUGGAACUGAGACACGGGCCAGACUCCUACGGGAGGCAGCAGUAGGGAAGCUUCCGCAAAGGGCGAAAGCCUGACGGAGCAACGCCGCGUGAGUGAUGAAGGUCUUCGGAUCGUAAAACUCUGUUAUUAGGGAAGAACAAAUGUGUAAGUAACUAUGCACGUCUUGACGGUACCUAAUCAGAAAGCCACGGCUAACUACGUG